AUUGAACGCUGGCGGCAGGCCUAACACAUGCAAGUCGAGCGGAUGAAGGGAGCUUGCUCCUGGAUUCAGCGGCGGACGGGUGAGUAAUGCCUAGGAAUCUGCCUGGUAGUGGGGGAUAACGUCCGGAAACGGGCGCUAAUACCGCAUACGUCCUGAGGGAGCAAGUGGGGGAUCUUCGGACCUCACGCUAUCAGAUGAGCCUAGGUCGGAUUAGCUAGUUGGUGGGGUAAAGGCCUACCAAGGCGACGAUCCGUAACUGGUCUGAGAGGAUGAUCAGUCACACGGGAACUGAGACACGGUCCAGACUCCUGCGGGAGGCAGCAGUGGGGAAUAUUGGACAGUGGGCGAAAGCCUGAUCCAGCCAUGCCGCGUGUGUGAAGAAGGUCUUCGGAUUGUAAAGCACUUUAAGUUGGGAGGAAGGGCAGUAAGUUAAUACCUUGCUGUUUUGACGUUACCAACAGAAUAAGCACCGGCUAACUUCGUG
rnacentral:rRNA from 1 species